GAACGAACGCUGGCGGCGCGCCUAAUACAUGCAAGUCGAGCGAGAAGACGUAGCAAUACGUUUGUAAAGCGGCGAACGGGUGAGGAAUACAUGGGUAACCUACCCUCGAGUGGGGAAUAACUAGCCGAAGGGUUAGCUAAUACCGCGUACGCUCCUUGGACUUCGGUUCAGGGAGGAAAGCGAUACCGUGGGUAUCGCGCUCUUGGAUGGGCUCAUGUCCUAUCAGCUUGUUGGUGAGGAACGGCUCACCAAGGCUUCGACGGGUAGCUGGUCUGAGAGGACGAUCAGCCACACUGGCACUGCGACACGGGCCAGACUCCUACGGGAGGCAGCAGUAAGGAAUAUUGCGCAAUGGGC
rnacentral:rRNA from 1 species